rnacentral:rRNA from 1 species
AGUCUUCCCAGAGAACUCGCGGAACUUUAGGUCGCACAGCUACGUGAGCCGCGGCAGGGACCUAGGUAACUCUUAGGACUCGUCGAGCGAUCGGGCGAGGGACCACCGCGGGAGCGUCGGGUGGACGUCGUCGUCCUCGUCGAAGACCUUGCGCGGCUGGACGUCGCGGAGCCGGAACGUGGGCAGCGGGAGGCGGCCCCUCAAGAACGUGUCGGCGGUGUCGCGGCUGUGCCGCUUGAGGCAUCGGUACAGCCUGUGCACGACGUAGAAGAAGUGCUAGUGGCCGUGCCGGUCGCGGACGCGCAUGCGGAGCAGCGCCGGGAACGUACACUCCUCGUCCGACAGGUCGUCCCGGUCGCGGAAGAGGCAGCGCGGGAACAGCCGCAGGUGGUCGUCGAGCUCCUGCUCGGCGUGGCGCGGCUCCAGCUGCUCCGCCCUGCGCCGCUCGAGCCACACGUACUGCUCCAUCAUGCGCCAAUGGUCGCGGCGGAACCACCGGACCCCGCUCUGCCCAAAGAGGUCCUCGAACUGCUCGCGGCGCAUAUACGGCCACCAGAACCGGUAGCGGAGCUCCGUGACGGCCAGCCUACUCCUCCGCUAGAGCGCCUCUUGCUGCUGCCGCGACUGGGCGCGAUCCUCGAGCGACACCCUCUCCUAUCUGUGCUGCCUAAGGUCGCGGCGGCCCCUCCGUUACACCGCGGACCUGAGGAGCAGUUCUCCGUUCUUGUGCUGGUAGCGGCGGUCCUAGAGGAGAUCCCGGCAGCGACCGUGGUGGGCGACCGGCCGUUCUACCGUCAUGCAGCUGCUCUCGCGCGCCCGCCGCGACCGCCUGUGCUUCGUGGCCGCCAACGCGAGCGAGAGGAAGGGCUCGCGGGACCGGGAGCGCUGGUCGAGGGCCGUGGAGCCGGGCAGCGGCGCGGAGCGCCGGCGCGUAUGGCGGAGGUCUUCGAGCCUGCGCAGCUUUCGCCUCUGGCCCUGCGCCCCGCACCCGUGCGCGAGAUGGGGCUCGGGGGCCAACCGCUGCGUGGUGAGGACCUAGUGGGAGGAGCACCGCACCAAUCCCUGCUCGAGGAGGUCGGCGUCGCCGGCCGGCCAGUGCCCCGUGCACCGCACCGGCGCGAGGUCGGUAGGGAGGUGCGAGAGGGCCAGCAUGCACUAGGGGCAGCCGCGGCAGUGCCCCAGGGCGUAGUACAGCUCGCUAUAGCCCGUGUUCUUCACCCAGCCGUGCCGUCCGAGGCUUAGCCGCCGCCGCUGGUUGUAGCCGACGACGGUGCAGGCGGAGUGCCGCUCGCCAUAGAGCCGGCCGCGCGGAGCGCGGCGCGGCGCCUUGCGCGCUCGCGCCUUCGCCCCGUCGCCGCACUGGUAGCUGCCAUCUUCUUUCGCCGCUAGCUCGACCGCACUAUAGUCCGCGACCCGGCCUCGGCUAGCUGCUGCUCUUACCGCCGACUGCUGGCUACUAACGGAAAACCUACCCCACUCCACU